AAGGGAAAGGUAAUAGUAACUAUCUAAUAUAUAUAUAUAUAUAAGUGGUAAUAAAAUAAAUUAGCAACAACGAGGAUGAUAAUAAUAAUAAUGAAUAAUUAUAAAUUAUAAAUAAACAUAGUGAGAUAGUAAUUGCUGCCACUAGAGUUACUAUAUUCUCGUCACCUAUUCAUCGUUAAUUGCUGCCACUAGAGUUACUAUAUUCUCGUCACCUAUUCACCUGUCAGUCAUUCCUAUCACCGUCAUCAUCCGUCUAGCCGAUCGUUGCCGCUGGACUUGUCGAGUCUCUAUUCACCAUCGACCUUCGCCAUCACAUUUGUUGUAAUCUCCUACCGCUGCUCCACUUGUUGUCAUCAUUUUACCGACUAUUCCUGCUGCUAUUCCUCCUGUCUAAUUGGGUACAAUUGUCAGCUAUUCUCCAUUAUUUUUCAGUCAUUUGCCCUUUUUCGUAAAAAGUCGACACUAGGUUCAUUGCCUUUAUUACCCUUCAAUUCUUCAAUUUCUUCAUUCACUGCUUGGCAUUUAAGUUUCGUUAGCACUUAUUCUACAUAUGAACUAUAAUUAGUUUUGAAUUACUGAUUGUUGACAGUUGUUUAGUACACAUUUGUUGAUAUUUCCUAAUUGAGGGUGUUUAUUUUUGUCAAUUUCUAUGUCAAGUUAAAAAUUAUUUUAGGCAUGUGAAUUUGGUUUUCACAUGUGGAUUGCUUGAUUCAUCAUUUUGGAACUAGUGGUAAUGGUCCUCUGAAUUCAUUAUGUGGACAGUUUAGGAACGGUUUGGUCAUUUUCAUUUUGUUUGGUUGAUAUUUUUCUUUUAGAUUUGAUUGCGCAAUUGAGCACCUACAAUUGGCAUUAUAGCAACCACUUAGGGAUAACUCAUUGUGACUUGAAUUGGCAUCUAUUUCGGUCCCUAUUCUCUUGUGUAUAUGUUCACUGCUUGGUUGACUAAAGUAUGGUCAAGAAACAAAUCAAAUCUAUGUCUAAACUAGGCAGUAGUUGCUCCCAACCAGCUAUCCCGACGAUCAACCCCUCUCACCCCCUCUUCAUCUUUAUGAAAAAGAUCUCGUCUAGGUAGGGAAAAGGGUAUUCAUAUAUCCUUAUCCUCUCACUUUGGAGGGAAUUUAAAUUUUUUCAAAGUUGCAAAUAAACAACGAUGCUCCAUUUGUAGUGAAAGGAGAAUAAUCCCUUGUAAGUACAUUCAUCCUCUAACACUUGUCUCUUUGAAUAUAUUUGAUGAUGUUGAGAGGAUGUUUACUUCCAUUGGUGGCGUCCAUAUCCUAUCAUUAGGUGCACUGCCGUUGCUGAGCUAAUUAGGGAGUUUUAUGCUACCUUUGAGUUUGACUUGCCUAAUGACUUUUUUAUCACCACUCUGAACAUGAUUAGGUUCCGAUUAUUGGGUUGGGGGUUUAAGCAAUCCAUCACUAAUUUUAAUUUGGCAUUAGGGUUCAUUGAUAAGGUGUAUGCAAAGAGUGCUUGUGAUUAUAUUCAGCCAUUUUUCUCUUCUUAUUAGGGUUUAUUGAUAAGGCAUAUGCGGAGUCUACAGAGUAUGCAGAGAGUGCUUGUGAUUAUGUUCAGCUAUUUUUCUCUUUUCAUAUUGAAAUCUAGUAGGAUAUCUUUGUUGAUCGUAAAUGAUCCUAGCCAAUCCAAGAGUUCUUUCCUCAAAUACCCGAGUUUGUGCUAUGUUUAGUGUUUUCUAAACUAUAAUUAUUCAGGGAGGAAUGAUAGUUCGAAAACUUUUCUAGGCCUGAAUUUUUCUUUGUUUUAAUAAUAUUAAAGUAAAUUUGGGCUAUUGGUUGGAUUUCCAAUUCAAAUUUGUGUUUUCCAAAAAAAAAAACCAUUGAUUCUUGACUCCUAUAUUACUCAUUUAGUAGUUAAUCUAGUGGUUCUUGAUCUUACUAAUCAUGAUUUGCAUCUAGUAGUUAAUCUAGUAGUUAAUCAUGAUUUGCAUCUGCUUUGUCAAAUGGAACCUUUAGAUUUGGUAUGUCUAGAAAAAAAAAGGCAUAGUGGAGUGAAUUAAUGGUGUGUGGCAAUUCACUUUCUUAGGACCCACACGCAUUCCCUUUAGAUGUGGUUCCACUCAUUCUAGCCCUUUGUCCAUAUUGGGCGCUAUUGGUAGGGAUCCUAGACCCUCUAUCUUCACACCUUCCUCACUAUUGUUUUGAGAUGUUGAGUUACAGUACCUGCGUGCACAGGUUCAGCACAUGGAUAGUCGCUUGACCAAUGUCGAACUUCACAUAACCAAGAUGAUGUAGAAUUUGGCGGCUUAUUUUCAUCAUGUUGGAUUCACACUAUCUUUUGCUUUGCAUCCAUAGCCGUCUACGGCCCCCUCUGUGAUCAAGGAAGUUUUGUUGUCCUUUUUCUAUUCUUUUGUUCUAUAUUUCUUACAAUGGGAACAAUUUAAGGAGUUGGUAUGGGGAUGUAGUAUAUUGAUAAUUUUCAUUGUAGGCAUUUUUAUUGGAAUUUUGUUAGAGGUUUUCGAAUUUCAUCUCAUUUUUGUCAUUUUUUUCUUUUGUGCAUUUUUGUGGCUAGUCCUAAUAAGCAAUGGCUAAAUGUCUCAAAUUUUACUAUUGCUAAGGUUUUAUAUGCUAAUGUAUUAAGUAUGGCGUGGUAAACUCUAAGAGUAUCUCUCUAGUGAAUAUUUAGAUUUUGUGGCUUCUGCAUUUUUUGGCUAACUUUUCUAGGUAUUGUUAAUAUUUUCCUACUAUUUUUUUUGCCAACCUUGUAUACGAGGGGGGCAUGCCAGCCCCAAUUUAUUUAUUUAAAAUCAUAACAAUACAGAGGAUUCUUGAGACAUUUCAAUGAACUUUUGUUCGAAAACUAGCGAGUCCUAAUCUAUCGAAUUGAAUAUCAUCACGAACUAGACGAGGAAGUACUGUAAAAGUAUCAUAAGUACAAUUCAUUUGUAAUCCAACCCCUAUAUUUGCAAGUCUAUCAAUUGGCUUAUUUGUCUCUCUAUAACAAUGCGAGAUAACCUGGAAAUGAUGCCUGUAUCUCAACAACUUCUCCAAAUCCCCUUGCAAUUUCCAAGGACAUACAAAACACCCCUAAACCAUCUUACCUAAAACCAAUGAGUCAGUUUCAAUAUGUAAGUCAUAAAAUCCAUGAGAUAUACACUGUCAUACGCCAAAAAGUAUAGCCUUAAGCUCCUCAUGUAAACUUGUCAAACCAUCAACAAAACACAAGUAACCAAAAACAAACCUGCCUUGCCAAUCCCGCACCAAACCGCCCCUACCACCUGGGCAUGGAUUCCCUCUAGAACACCUAUCCGAAUUCAAUUUAUAACCCACCAUAGGCAUUUCAUACUAUUUUUUGUGUAAAUUGGUUCAACUAUUAAUCUUAGUUCUCCAUAUUUGGAAAAUAAAGUGGGCUUGUGUGGUCUUUAAUUUUAAUUUGGUGUUUAUUUGUGAAUAAUGUUUGGAUAUACUCUGCUAGUUAUCGUUGCUUAGUAUUCAUCACAAGUUUUGACUUUCACAUCAAAAAGUGGAGAUUACUAUGAGUAUGUGAUCCUUAAGUGGUGAAAGUUGAGUAAUUGAACUCCUUCAUUUGGUAGAUGUUGGAGUUCGCAUCAAAAGGUUUGCGUGGCUAAGAACUAGCCAUUUUUCCUGAAAAAAUUGAAAAAAAAAAACGUAAGUGUGAGGGACAUCUUGAAAAAGAAAAAGAUGCCCAAAAAAAGGAUAGAAAAUGAAAAAGUGCAUGUGAAUGUGAAAGUGCUUGAAUGAUUAUGCUAGCUUGCAGAUCCAUGAGUUAUAAUGUUGAGAUUUUGCUUAAUAGUCAAACUAUUUGCUGACCAAUGCUGGUUAAAUAUUUUAUAUUCUUAAAUUUGUUAGUUAGGAAUUGGAAGAGUUCUUGAUUUUAAAAACUAAUCAGAGAGAUAUCUCUCGGAGAUUAGCCAUUAAAGCUUGAUAUGUGUUUUAAUUGUACCAUGAUAAUGGGUGAUUUGAGCAAUAGCCAUUGUUUGAACUCAACUACUUAAUUAAUUAUUCACGUGCUUGAGGACAAGUAUGGUUUAGGUGUGGAAAGAGUUGAUAGGGUGCAUAUUGAUUAGUGAAAUUGCAAAAUGCUUUUGGCCAAAUAUCACAUUAUUGGAUUGAUUCUAUUUAUGUUUGGCAAUUGGUGUUGGUUGUAAGACUUUGGAGCACAAAAGAGUAAAAAGGGUGUCAUAAAGAAACUUUCCAACAAAAAACUCUAGACCUGAUUAGCCGAGGAGGCCAUACGUAUUAGCUAGGUGGAAUGCAUGCAAAUGAGCCAUGUAUCUUUAAUUUUUUUUGACACCAUGUGACAAUCCCACCUCCCCCUAAGGCAUACCCUAGGGUUUAGCGGACUGCCUGCCCAACUCUCUCCAGGACUCACUCACUCAUUUAAAGAAAACAACUUACAACCAUAGAAAGGAAAUUAAACAACAAUUUCCAAGCUUAAAAUAUACAUUAAUACUUAAAUCCAACUCCAAGGCUCAUACAUGCCCAAAUAUGUCAAAAUUUUCAAAAAUCCAAAUACAUCCAACCCUAGUCAAGCACUAGCGUGAGUACAAUCGCAAAAAUUCAAAAACUAGACUUUGCUAGCCUGUACCCGUCCCCACGCCCUUGCUUGUAUCCCUUGUAAGGAAAACAAAUCUCAUAAAAUGAACUAAAGCUCAGUGAGGCUCCAAAACUUCAUGUAGACCCAAAUAGCAAGUUGACCAUGAUUUAAAAUCACAUGUAUCAAAAUAGCGAGCACAUGAAGUCAAGAAAAUGAGUAAUAAAGUUUUGUAAGGCCAAGCACUAGUUAUUUAACAUGUCAAAUGAAAGGAUGUCGCCGCUAUUUCAAAAUAGCUCCAUCAUAGCUUGAUCAAGUAGUAGUUGACUCUCCGUCAACUUUCAAGUAGAGUAACUAGUCCAGUAGAGCCCCGCUUGACACCAAUCCGUCCACCAUUCAACCCCCUUACCAGGCCUGAACACCACGAGAAACACGCAUGGUAAUACUCGAGUAUACCGAUUAGUCGAGGAGGUAUCACUCCACUUAACAAAACAAGAGACCCAGGGUUCGUUAUCUAAUCAACCAAGUCCUUACCGGCUCGACUCGAAUAACUUGUCACAGGGUUUCUGGAAUUCCAGAGAGUGCUCACGCAUAGACAAAUACAUCAGACAAGAAUAUCAAGUCAAGUGCCAUCAAGGCAUAACAACAAGUCACGUUUAGAACAAGUGCGAUAAAGUACACCCUUGUCCGUCCAAACAAGUCAAAUAUUAUCCAAGCACAUUAAUAAAACAUGUAAAAGCAAGUAUCAAAUACAAACAUGCACUUGGAAGCACUCACCAAAGGUCUAGUGAUUUUCAAGGUCACGCUUAGGUGCAACUCCUUGGAUGGAGUCCAAAUCUGUGGUAAAAUAUUAUGCAAGAGUUUAAAAUCAACUAGGGUUCGAAACAUAAGAGUUUCGCUUCAAGAAAAUCAAGUAAAUGCAAUUCGUUUAAGUAGUAUUCAAGUUACUUAUUAAACUCUAGAAAAUUCAUGCUCGCUCGUUUAGUUUUGAUCAAGAAGUGAUUUAGACUUUGGAAGUCGCACUUAGUAUCAAAGACCGAAAAAAUUGUAUUUUGAAAGGGCCGCAACUUUCACUUUUCAAGGGUAUGAGUUCCGGCAAAAUUUCAGCUUAUAUACCUUGACUAAAGGUAAUUCGACUACCACAGACGAUCCAAGUCCAAUUCGACCUCAAAUCUCCGCUCAAGUAGCGAGUACAUAAGCCUAACUCUCGAGUGAAAAUUUGGGCAGCAUGCCCUUUGUAUUUAGCUAUUUUCCAGCCAUAUAUGGCUUCAUUUUUUCCUUCAAAUCAGCCCAAUUCAACAUAUUCGCAAGCUUAACAAAAUACCUCUUCAACUAGGCUCAAUACCAUCCAAAUACAAGUCAAUUCUAGCAAUACAACCGUCAAAAUCAAAGCUGAAAACCAAUUUUAAAGAAGAAUGUCUAAGUGGCAGAUUUGUCCUCCUUCGGUGUUUUGGUCAUAACUACAGCUAGGUAUAUCAAAUCGAGGAAAAUUUUAUGACGUUUCGAAACUACAAUAUAUACACACAGUGAUGGAUCUUCCCAAAAUAACUUUCCACUUCCAUCCAAUCACUUUUCAAUCUCCAACUCCUGUAAGGAAAACAAAGCUAAAAGGGCUGAGCUAAACCUCAGUGAGGUUUGCCGAGCAAGUAACAUUUAAUAAACACUUAAAUUAGUACAAUUAAGCAAGUAGUGCACAUUUCACUUCCCCAAAGGCUCUAUGUUUCUUUCUAAAUCAAAGUAAUCAUAAUACAUGGAGCAAAACAGGGUACUAUAGGAUACGUUUAACCAAUAUCUGCAUAAACUUCAAUUCACGAAACAGAAGUUAGGCUAGAGAGAAUACAAUCAGUCAUUCGGGUUUCAAAACAAGAUUCCAGCCAUGUAUCUUCCGAGAUUUUCAUUCAAUCUACCAAUUUAACAUAGACUACAUUUCCAAUGAAGACAUAGACACUUAGUUCUAGCAUUUUCAGGGUCAAAAAGUGAAAUCUCAGAGAAAAAAGAAAGCUGUCGGUUAAAUAGGGCAUUUGGGCAGUCAGGGGUAUCUUAGUCAUUCCACAAGCUACAGUGCUUUAAUUGAGGUGAAAUUUUCUGGGUGGAAAGAUAACUCAACUACCUACAACUUUCAUGUUUUGAGUAAAAACUGAUUAAAUCUAAAACAUGGAGAAAUUCGCAGCCCAAGUUGCUACUUCAUCCAGUAAAAGACAGAACAGGUAUGCAAUUUCAGUUAAAUUUGAAAAAUCAUAGAUAUUCAUAGGAGUUGAGAAAAAGGCUGAAAUUUUCACGGUUGAUAGUAGUCUGACUCUAGUUUCAAACAAAGCAAACAGAACUCAAUUCCAACUUUUCUACAACAAGAUAUAGCAGAUUUUCUAAGACUGCUCAAGGGUUCCUGCAGAAAAUUUCAACAGCACUUCCCCUUGUUUUCUUUAUUUUUCCUUCCAAAAAUCAGCACCAAAUUUCCUCUCAAUUUAAACUCAAUCACAACCACAAGUCAUAGGUCAUCUAUACACUUAUUUAAGGCCACAAUACCAUCCUUUUUUUUUUUUUACGGAAACCACAAUACCAUCCAAAUAUAGCAAAUUCAUACUCAAAGCCAACCACAAGCAAGCUAAAAAGACAUCCCAAGGCUGCAAUUUAACAUAUCAAAGCUAGAAAAUUCAGGCCCUAAGCUAAAACUAUUAACAAAUGCUGAAAUUCCUUAAAGAAAGCCAAAAGUGCUUGUACAAGCUGGAAAUUCUCAUGGACAGCCCAAAAAUUCCCUAGCAAAGCUGGAAUUCAUCAUUCAAAGCUGGAAAUAACAAUCUACUAUACAAAACUACAAAAUCUUCCAUGAAAUCUACUACAAACAAGCACUAAUCUCAUUCAAGUGCAAGAUUAAAGAAAUAAAGUAGCUUCUUGCCAAAAGUACCUUCAAACCUCAAGAUGAGUAGCAAAUUGCAGCUUCCUUUUCCCCCAAAAACACUCCACACCAGCCACCUUCCUUCCUUGUAGCAACUCUCUAUGGAUUUGCUUAGGGUUUUAGGUUGACUUCCCACAAGUUGUAGCUAGGAAAUAAGAUGAAACUUGAAGUAGUUUUCCUCUCUUUCUCUUCUCUCUCUCUCUCGGCCAAGAGGUAAGAAAAUGGAGUGUUAUUUGUGUCCAACAAGAAAGACAAGUUUUAAAGAAAGCCUAGUCAAAAUUAGCCAUUAGUGGCAAUCCAACCUUUGUUCUUUUUUUUCCUUCUCUCAUGCUUAGUCAAAAAUUUCGGCCAAGGAUAAGAAGAUUAUGGCUGAUUUUUUCCUCUUCAAUUCAUCCAAGAGGAAGAAGGAGAUUGUGGUUUGAUUUUGGUCAAAUUUUGUGCCUUGUCAUUAUCAAUAAGAGAAAAAUUGAUAGCUUAGUCUUAAUCAUGUCUUAGUCUAUCCCUUUUCUUUGGUCAAAAAUUUCGGCCACACUAGGAUAAUUAUUAGGGAAGGAUAAAUGAAAGAAAAAUACGAAGAUUAGGAUAAGAAAAUAUUAGUCAAGCGGUGCCAUCGACCGGUACAAACGGCGCGAGUCGGUUCAAUCCUACUUCCUUAACUCUCUCUCGUACUUGUGUUUUAACUUAUGAUUCACUAACUUAUUAUUAGCACUUCUAAUAAUACAUUUUCUCUCACCUAAUACUCACUUUUAUCCACUAAAUUUAGUACACACAGCUCAUCACUUAAUCACACUAUCAAAAUAUGUAAAAGCCUAAUUUACGCUAACUAUAAAAAUAAAGGUAAAACUCUCGAUUUUCUUACAUAUUACAACUAAUGAGGAAAUAAAGUAGUAGUAAAGGAAUUAUAAAAUAGUUUAUUCAAAAUAAAAGGAAAUUAUAAGAAAAUAUGAGCAAAUUUUUGAGUCGUUGCACGCCACAACACAUGCAAGGGGAUAGGUGGCUAGGACAGGUGGAGCUUGGGGAAAAAUCUGGAAAAAUGAGGAAGAAACAAGAGAGAGGGGCUUCGGGUAAGAGUGAAAGAAAAAGGGAAGGAAAAAAGAAAAACCGCGAAAAAGGAGAGCUUGGGGGCUGGAGGAAGUAUCUGGAACCAAGAGGGAGAGUGAUAAGAGCUUCGGGCAGUGGAGAAAGGCUGAGGAAGAAACAAGAAGUGGUUUCGGGCAGGGAAGGAGAGAAAAGGGAAAAGAGGGUUUCGGGAAGAAGAAAGAAAGGAAGAGAGGAAGAAAAUGGAAAGGAGAAGAGAAAGAAGGGAAGAGAAAGAGGGAAUCUGGGAGAGUAAGGGAGGAAGAGAGAAACUGGAAAAAGGAAAAAAAACAAGAAAAGAAAGGAAAAGGAGAGAUAAUAACGGGAAAAAAAACUUUCUUCACCAGGCUGACGAGCAAUCCUAAUUCUGGACCAAAGUUAGGCUUCGAUUCUAACUUUUUUAGGGAUGUUGUGGUUUCUGCACCUUCUUGGGAGACAGUAGAAGGAAUUUUGUUCACAAAUUUCUGGGAGAAAACUGCUCUAAGCUAGCCAGAUCGUGACCCAAAGCGCUGCUCUCGUCAGUGUUGAAAUUUUCUGCAGCAACCUUCUUGAACUUCGUUUCCAGAUUGGCGUGAUCUUUUGGACGACUUUCACGUUCGAUCUUCUUUGCAAAGGUUCCAAGGUAACCUUAGCUUCUCCCUUUUGUUGCUUUAAUACCAUUUUUUAUGAGAAUCCAAGCGCAUAAGCUGUGAAUCUUGAGUUGUUUUGCUGUAGUCGAUGCUCGAGCCGUGACUGAGCCAUUAUCUUUUAGAUCCUCAUGUACACCAGUUAAACGUUUGUCUUGUUAGUCUUUGACAUGUUUAGGAGAGGAAACUGAAAGAAUCAUGCAGCUAAUCUCGCGACUUUGCAUCAAAAUCUUCAUUUUUCUUCCCUUGUUAUCUUGCGGUUCUCUUGUUUGAAACCUGAGUUGCAUAAUCUUGUGUUGGGUUUGGAGUUUUUGUGGCUGGUUGCCUUAUUAUUGAAUCUAGCCUUUGUAUUUCAUGGAAAAAGGUUUUAUUUUUCUUUUCUACACAAGAUUAAAUGAUGGUUUGAUGUUGGGUUAGUAAAAAAUGCUGCUUUUGUUGUUCGUAGUAGUAAUACAGAAGGUUGCAAAAGUUUUCCAGAAUUGUAUGUUCCCAUUCUGAGUUUUUGGGCUUGUUUGGAUGUUGAAUUUCUGUGCUUUGUUGCUUAGAUUAAAGUUUUGGUGUUUGGUUGAGAUUUUAUGCGAAGGGAAGUUUGCUUCAUGAAACCCAGAAGAAAAUUGCAAAGGCUUUCAGUUGCAGAACAAUGAAGAAGAAAGCCUCUUCGAAGAUGCAUGAAAAUUUUUCCAAAAAUUACAUUUUAACCCCUCAAGUUUUCCUUUAUUUCACUAUGACCCAAAACUAGAGAAAAUCAAUCAAAUUUACUUUUUUUUUAAAAAAAAAUUCAAUCAAUCUUUUAAUGUUUUAACCAUGUUUUAGACAAAGUCAUUUUCUGGUUUUAGGAGAUAAUUAGAACUUAAUUAGUCUUAAGAGCUUUAUUUUACUUUGAUUUCACUCCCUAAUAUUUGUAAUAAUAAUUUGACCCCUUAAAACUUUUAUAAUUGUUUCGAUUAGGUCUUUGUUUGUUUUAAAUUCUUGAAUAUAGGUUGUUUACUUUCAUUUAAAUGCUUUAAUUGUUCAAUUUCAUAAUCAUUUCCAUUUCUUUACAUGUUGUUGCUUUUGUUUGUUAAUUAAAUGGUACUUUGACCAUGUUUGUUGUUUUAGAGGGUAAAUAGGAGAAAUUUCAUUUCAUUAGAUCACCAAUUCAAGAGAGGUACACUUUACUCCUUAUUUUGAGUUUACUUGAUCCUAUGUGCUCCUAUGUGAUUUUAUGUGCUUAAUUGCUUGCUUUUUGAAUGUUUUUUUAUUUAUUUUAUUUUAUUUAUUUGUUUAUUCACUUUACUUGUUUUUAAUUUUGUAUAUUUAUUUUAAUUUAAUUUUUGAUUAUUUGAGAGGCAAUUAAAUGCCAAAUUGUAAUAGUUAGAUUAUUAUUUUAUUUCAUUUCAUUCUUUACCCCCCUUUAGAUUGUAGUUAGGGUCCCAAAUGUAAUAGUUAGGUCUAUAUUUGCUUGUGUGUGCUUGUAUGCUUGUGUGCUUACGUGUUUACUCGUUUUCUUAGGGUCUUUGCAUCUAGAUAUCAUGCUUACGUGCUAUGUGCUUAUGUGAUUUGGUUGUUUACUUGCUUUUAUUAUAUUUUUAUAUGAUUCAUUUAAUUAUAAAUAAAUGCAUGACGUCACCACACUAGUCCAACGCUAGUUGUGACCCUAUUUCCUCGAUUUCUCGCUAGUCCAACACUAGUGAGAAUUUAGAUGAAUGGGUUAGUCCAACGCUAGACCCUUAGGGACCGUCUACGUGUUAGAUCAUGUUUGUGUGACAAAUCGCUACAUUUCAUGUAUAUUUUCUAGGAUCUUUAUCACUUUUAUAUGAUAUUUCCCUAUGUAUAAAACAUAACAUUUAGAUUUGCAUCUCAUUUAGAAAAAUUAGAAAUAGGUUAGAUUAUUUGCCUGACCAAAAUUAGGAGAAUUUGUGAAAACUCGAAAAAAUUUUUUUUAUAUGUACGCUAUGAAUUUCUUUUAUUCUAAUUACUUUGAUAUUAGAAAUAUUAUAACGAAUAAAUGGUUAAAUUAAAUGCCUAAUUGAAUUUAUAUAAAAAUUGAGAAUUUAGAAAUAUCCUAAAAUGGUGCAAAAUAUAUAUAUAUAUAUAUAUAUAUAUAUAUAUAUAUAUAUAUAUAUGAAUCAAAUAAACAUAUGAUAUGCAUAUUGUAAUUUGAGCAAUUUGAAUAUAUUAUAUAGUUGAAUAAGUUACAUGACUAAUUAAUUUUCCUUAAAGCCAAAUGUGUGGAAAUCUACUAAAUUGAUAUAAGCGAAAAUUUUCAAGGUACAUAUAAAUUAGAACAAACGAAAUUUUGAGUCAACGUGUGAGACAAUAAAAUUAUGGCCUCGUAGCAAAUAAAUGAACUAAAAUUAAAGGACCGAACUAAUCUUGGGGAUUCGGUUAAACUACCAUGCAAUUAAGGAACAAGCUACUAGAAUUUUGACAAAACAGGAACCGAAUGGAAGCAAGGCAACUAUCUGCUGUCUAAACGGUGGAAAGGAAAAAGGAGUAGGAGUUGUUUGAUAAUUGGGCGGUGGGAAACCGUUAUUUGGACAGCUGCCAGGAAGGAACUUACCACCGAAACUGCUGAGUAAGCAGCGACCGAAUGAGAGGAACUUGGAAUGAUUAGCCACCGAAUGGAGGAACAUUGAGUGAUCAGCUGAGUGAAGAAGUACGCUUAAUUCUCUUCCUACCAACCAAGCAUUAGGAACAAAACUGAGAGAGAGAGAUUCGGUCACACCCAUUUUAUCUCAAAAACCCAAUCGAGUGAGAGGAAAAGAAAACAGAGAACGAAGCUUUCUUUCUUCUUCAUACCCAAAACCGUGAGAAAGAGUGAGAGUGAAGAAGCAUUUCUAGUUCCUUCUAGCCACAACCGAGUGAGUAAGAGAGCUGAGUGAGUGAUAAGAGGAGGAAGCUAACUUAGAAUUUCACAUAUCAGCUACCAUAGUGAGGAGGAACCGAAGCUAGGAGCAGGAGCAAUCUGCCACUAGUAAAACUUAGCAGAAAAAGGUAAGAAUCUUGUAACCACCCUUUUAUUUCUUGAAUAUAACUGAAUAUAUGGGCUUCAUGUUAGUUUAGCAAGGAAUAAUAAGUUUUAACCGAAGGAAGAUCUGAUAAAGAAGAAAAAUUGGAACUGGACUGAAGUUGUAGGAAGUAGGAACCGAGAGUUGUUGUUUGUUGCUGCAGCUUGUUAACCGAAAGUAUGGGGUAAUUUUCUGCUAGAAGCUUAAACUAUAUGUUAUUUCCUUGUCUUACCUGAGUAACUAGAGUAGAGUUGAUAGCUUGAGUGAAAACUUUGCUAAGAUUAGCUGGUAGUUUCUAUCUAGUUGGCUAAGAGAGGAAAUACGAAAUUUUCCAGAUUUCUUGACAGAUUUUGGGUUCCAAAUUCUUACGUUGAAGCUUAAUACCCUGCAUAAUAGUUUAGUCUCAGCAUGCAUGUUAGAUUGAGUGGGAAAUGAAGUAGAUAAUAGAGAAAUGUCUUGCUUUAAAAAACUGAGUUGCUGCCAAAACUUUUCCAGCAUGGCUGAAAGAGAGAGUUACACUUCAGAUCAGCCUUUCUUUCGAAGUUCAGCUGUAAAAUUUUAUACUUGCUGUUCAAGAUUACUUUGUAGCUUGCUAAUUAUGUUUUGCAUGUUGAGUUGAAGUUAAAACUGAAGAAAAUGUGAAGAACGAACCGAAUAAUUAACUGUCUUAUGGCUGAAGGUUUACUUAGCUAAUGACAGAAUUAGUUGUGGCUUUUGGGUUGAAUAAUCCGUUGAAACUAGAUGCUAAUUGCUUUGGUAUAUGCUGGAAUGAAUGUAACUUAAGUAUAUGGAGAUUUAAGCAAGUGAAAGAAUAGAGUAUUUGCUUAAAAGCUUGAAAUAACAUUACUGGAAAUUUGUGAUUUGUCUGUCUAGUUGGGGCAUGAAAGUGAAAGGAAAGACUUGAGAAAACAACAAAUGUUGGACCGUUACACUGCUAGAAAAUUUAGUUGGGGAAUGCUAUAGCUGAUAACAGCUUUUGUAUGUGAUUUUGGCCGAAUAACAUGCUGAAAUUAUGAGUUAUUCACCUUAGUUCAUGUUGAACAGAAUGUAUACUAAGUGACUAAUAUUUGAGUAAGUGAAAGAUGGAAUUUGUUGAAGAUUUAGAAACAUUUGAUCCAAAAUUCUUGCUUUGGCUGACCGAAUGUGUGAAGAGAUGAAGCUCUCAUGAAACUUUUGAAAAUUUAUGUUAAAUGGUUGUGAAUUUAUAUGGAGCAUCUUAUAGUAUCUUGAAACUAUUUUAUGAGUAUUUUAAAGAACUUAAAACUGAAAAAUUAGUAAAAUUUAAACGAGAUUUAAACUAUUGGCAACUUGGAGUCUAGUUUAAUCCAAAAAGAAAAGAAUGAAAAGGCAAUUUGCCUUAAUCUUAGAAUAUUGGAUAGAAAAUGGUUUAAUCUUAGGUUAAACGUUUUAUAAGACUAUAAACUUGGUAUAUGUAUAAUUCUUGAUUAAAACAAUUAAGUCAAUAAGUUUCAAAAUAAAAUGAUAAAUGAAUAUUGAAUAUAUUAUAUUUGUACUUUAAAGUCAAACUUGAUUUUAAUAGUUCAAGUGAUAAAGUAAGAACAAUAAGUAAACAUCUACAAACUAUGUAUUUGAUUUGGAAUUAUUAACUUGUCCAGGAAGUAGCUGUGAACCAGAAAACCGACUCGAGACUCGAGAGUAAUUUAUUUGGAUAUUUGGUGAGUGUUUUCCAAAUUUAUGUGUUAAACUGCUUAUGUUUACCUAAGUGCAAUUAUAUGGCAAAUGUGCUUAUUAUGAAAUAUUGCUAAGUGAUUUAUUGCUAAGUGUAUCUCAAUUGUCCCUCGCCUUUUAAGUCGAGUGUGUACUUUAUCGCACUCGGUUUAGUUGAGUUUGAAAGUUGAUAAUUGAUCAAGUGAUAUUGUAAGUAUGCAUGACUGUAAGCCGUGUGUGCACUUUAUCACACUGGCUGAACUGGGCUCCGAAACCCUUUGUUCAACGGACUAUUCGAGCUAGCAAAAGGGGCUCGGUCGGAUAGGACGGUAGCUUUGGGUAAGUGUAUUGGUAUGCUCGAGUAUUACCACGGAGUAGCAGAUUACUGAUAUUGAUAUGGCCAUCCAAGUGAGGGAAGUGUUUAUUGUUUUGGAGGUUAUAAGGAGGAGUUCGGCGGAGUGUGUAGUGCAUUGAAGUGGCUCUAAUGCGAGCACCGUAUCCUUUUAAAAGUGAUUGUUCAGUGAAGUGUUUCCUCAAUUGCUAAUGAAAGUGAUUGUACAGUGAAAUGUGCACUACUUGCUUAAUUGUAUUGAUUCAUGUGAUUAUUAAAUGUCACUUGCAUGAAAACCUCACGGGCGUAAGCUCACCCUUUUAGGUUUGUUUUCCUUACAGGAGUCAGAGAUUGAAUAGUGAUUGGAUGGAACUAGAAAGUUAUUUUGGGAAGAUCCGUUAUUCUGUGUAUAUAGUGUAGGCAUGGUCUCUUUUGAAUUUUGAAACGGUUGAAUUUUUGUUUGAGUUGGUGUGAUAUUAAGAAUGGAUAUUUAGAAUAGGUAUUUUGUUUCUUUUAUUGGACAAAUUUAUGUUUCAAAUUGAUUGAAGAUGUACUUAAGAGUGAAUGUUCAGUUGUCCAAUGGUAAUGUUAUCUCUGAAGUUAAUGUGAGUAAGUGAGCCCUGGCGAGAGUCAGGCAGGCGAUCCGCUAAUUUCUAGGGUAUGCCCUAGGAGAAUGUGGGGUCGUUACAGAAUUAACCCUUUAA
rnacentral:lncRNA from 1 species